GACGAACGCUGGCGGCGUGCUUAACACAUGCAAGUCGAACGAGUGGGAACGGGUGAGUAACACGUGGGUAACCUCCCAUCAGAGGGGAUAACACUUGGAAACAGGUGCUAAAACGAUACUGAUGGAUGAACCCGCGGUGAAUUAGCUAGUUGGGGAGGUAACGGCUCACCAAGGCCACGAUGCAUAGCCGACCUGAGAGGGUGAUCGGCACCACUGGGACUGAGCCACGGCCCAUACUCCUACGGGAGGCAGCAGUAGGGAAUCGUCGGCAAUGGACGAAAGUCUGACCGAGCAACGCCGAGUGAGUGAAAAAGGUUUUCGGAUCGUAAACCUCUGUUGUUAGAGAAGCGGUAUCUAACCAGAAAGCCACGGCUAACUACGUGCCAGCAGCCGCGGUAAUAC
rnacentral:rRNA from 1 species